rnacentral:lncRNA from 1 species
AACACCUUAGCAGGCCUGCCACAGUCUGCUGUAAGACUGAUCCUCCAAGGAUGCUGAGCCCUGGCUAGGGAAACCCCAUCCUCAGUUGUGGUGUCCCUAGAUUCAGUUAUAAAUCUCUCCUUAUCACCAGUCUGUGCCAUUAUGAUUCACUGCCUGCCUGCCUUCCUGCCUCUCUCUCUCUCUCUCUCUCUCUCUCUCUCUCUCUCUCUCUCUCUCUCUUCUUUCUUUCUUUCUUUCUUUCUUUCUUUCUUUCUUUCUUUCUUUCUUUCUUUCUUUCUUUUGUUCCAAACCAAAAAAAAAAGAAAGAAAGAAAAAGAAAAAGAUUUCUUCUCUCAGGUUCUUGGUUUCCUUGCUGACAGAAUGAAAUUUUUUAUGUCAUCUUAAAUUUGGCGGUUAUUACCCUAUUACCUAUGGAAACUACUGUAAAGACCUCACUCAGCUGUCAUCAGAUCCAGCCGUAGGCAUCAUUUGUGCCACGAAAGGUGGCCCCAGUGCUCAGCUUGGAAAAAAAUGGCCCCUGCUUGGCUCUGCAAAUGACUCCCACUGAAGCCUUGGAGAGCUGAGGACGUGACACGAGACGUUAAGGAGCUGUAAAGGGAAUGGUGACUGAGAAUUUCUUGUGGAAAUGUGGUACUGCUUCUGAUUUGAUGGUGAUGGAGUCAGCAGGGCCUUCUCUGUGAAUGGCGGGAGUAGCCCAGGCACCCAGGGUCUGUCUGUCUACAGGGAGUCUGAGCAAGGCUGUGCCUUUUCCCUGCAGCUUCUGGUUUAUAGAUUUUCAGUUCUUUCGUCUAGCCCUUUCUCUGCAUCUAAACUGCAUCCUGGUUGCCACCGACCACGGCUGUGCUAUGUACUGAGGCCAGGCCAAGCCGGCAGUUGCCUCCUGGCUGAUUGUUUGGCUAGUUGAGGUUACAAUAGUGCGGCUUUGAAAGUUUAUCCCUCCCCUUCUCCUCUCUUCCCCUCUUUUCCUCUCUUCCUCUUUCUCAUCUUCUCCCUACUUUCCAAGAUCCUAUAGCCUCGAGGUUUCCUGCCUAGUACAUAGUCCCAAUCUAGGCAUUACUAAUUUCUUUACACUACUACAAUUAAAGCUUGGGAUAGUGUUCUCAGAAUACAUGACAAGUGACCUAAUGACAUAAGACUAUUUAUUCUGUCAUCCAUUCGAUUUUUGUCUUAUUUUCUUUUAAUCUAUUGUUUGCUUUUAUUGCAUUUAUAGGGGAGGGGACCUGUAAGAGCCUCCCCAUGUGUCUGGAGGGCAGAAGUGGUUAAAGGUUAAGAAGUUAAGGGGCCUGGAUCUCUCCUUUCACCAAACAGAGUCUGGUGAUUGACCUCAGAUCCUCAGGCAUGGCAACAGGUGCUUGUACCCGCAGAGCCAUCUUGACGGGCCUUUCUGUUUUAUUUUAUCUAGGACACUUCACAGGAGAUGUAUCCUCUUUGCAGUAAGUGUGCAUUGGAGUAUUGCUGACCUGUAAGGAUUAGCUGGAAAGGCAGACUUCCAAAAGCAUGGGAAUGGACAGCUCUCUGUCCUUUAAGAUCCCAGUUAGGCUGGGAAGGCCCUAGACUGUGGGAAGGGCAGGAGAGCCAGUGUAGCUUGCUAGGUAGUUGGUGGUUCUGUGUUUUGUGUAUCUCUUCGCAUAGCAUUCUCCCAAGUGCUUCCCAAAUGAAAGUUCUAGGGUUUGGGGGUUGAUGCACUUAGGGAUAUGGAGAGAAUUCUCCUUUCCGUGCAUAUACUGACCUUGGUAGUCCUGCUAGGCACCCUGUUUUCUGAUUUAACAGACAGCAUCACCAAGUGUGAGAAUUUGGGGUCUGGACUUAAGUCUCUCCCUCUGAGCUCUGGGUUCUCCCAAGAGGAAAUAGUGUCUGUGCUUUUAAUUCUUGUCAAAUUUGCCUCUGACAUUUAACAGCCUUUAUAGUAUUGAAUUUUGAAGGCAUUGAUUUUUCUAUAGUAGAAAUUAUGGAUUAGAUAAUUGGUGAAAUAAGAAAAAUCCUGAUUCCAUAAUUUUCUUUUAAAAACACGCUGCCAGGAAUGGGCUUAUUUGGUAAAGAGGAAAGGUAGUGGGGUGGGCCUUCCUGCUGUCCAUCUGUCCCUGGGGUGGGCCUUCCCGCUGUCCGUCUGUCUCUUGGGUGGGCCUUCCUGCUGUCCAUCUGUCCAUGGAUGAGAACCUGCACCCUUCCUUGAGUACUUGCUGAGAGCAAAUGCCUGUCGAUCCCCACCCCUUUCUUACCCCGUCUUCUGCUCUUUGUAUGUGAAACCUAUUCCUGUCUGUACCAAAUGAGCUGUCUGUCCUGACACACUGCCCAGGGGCUCUUGCUAUUUGAAUCUGCAAGUAAAAUUAAGUUCACUUUGACUAACCCAAUUUUACCACAUAAAAGGGGGUGUGUCUGGUAGAGGCAUUAGUGCUUGUUCACCUGUUAUGAUGGUUGGCCUAAUGAGCCCUGGCUAUUUCCAUGUUAGGAAAGUCAUACACAAUUUAGUAGAAUGUAGAACUCACAUUUUGAAUUUUGAACAUUGCCCAAGGUAUAAACAUAUAUAACACAGUCGUCUUUUGUAGCAAGCCCUGUUUUCAGUCAGCCCCUGGCUCCCCAAGGAAGCCACGGACACCACACUGCAUUGUGUGGCUAAACUGGGAGCUGGUAGUCUGUGUGUAUGGAAUAUAUUCCAGUUUAUGCUAAUUUGUAGUAACCACACUCUAAGUAUUGAAAAGUGUGUGUAUUUCCAUAAUGCUCAAAACUAGUUUCUGAAGCCAGUUUAAUGUCACUUAGCUUUUAAAGCUAGCUAUUAUAAUUGCUUGUACAAGUUUGUGUCUGCAUUCAUUUUUUUUUUCAAAGACUCUGAAAGAAAUACCUCAAGGAAGUAAAAGUCUUCAGGUCUGGCUCACUGAUUCUGUCCAUGAGUUGUCUGUGAGAUAUCAGUCAGUAAUGACAAUAACAUAAAGGGUUAAAUUAUUUCAAGAAUGAUGUCACUCUCAAAUCUU